CGGGGAGCUUCGUUGGCGAUGGAGUCCGAUUGCUCGGUGGAUUUGGAGAAAGGGGUUGGUGAAACCAAGGUGCAUUUGGAGAAAAUUGAAAGAGAUUAUAG